GAGAUUAUGCUGGAUACACGGAUAAAAAGUUCGCUUGGGAGGAUGGAAACGGAGAGGCUGGUAAUGGAGCAGACAAUCCCCUUCCAGCUGAU
rnacentral:SRP_RNA from 16 species